CAGAGUUGAAAAACUCCCUAACCCUUUGUUUAUAUACCUGUCCCGUUGCUUCGGCAGGCGGCCCCAGGGCGGGGCCUCCGGCCUGCUUAUGCAGGUGUCUGCCGCUGGCACAAAACUCUUUUGUUAUAUAUACCACUCUGAGUCAAAACAAAAAUGAAUCA
rnacentral:misc_RNA from 1 species